rnacentral:lncRNA from 1 species
CCAGUGCCCUCCCAGUGCCUGUGUGCACAUGUCAGUCCCGCUGUGUAGGUGCAGCGGUGUCUGCAGGGUUGGGUGUCUGUAUGUAAGCUGGUGUAGGUGUGUGUGUAUAGACACGUGUACUUGCAUGUGCGUGUAAGGGUGUACGUGGCUCUGUAGGUGCAUUUCGGUGUAUAUCUGUAAGCGUGUGGGCAUGUAUAGGAGUAGGUGUGUAUGGAGGGGUGUGGCGGUGCGUGAAGGGCGUAUAGAUUGGUUGUGUGUGGGGCUGUAUGUAGGUGUAGGUGUGUGUAGGGCUGGGUGUGUACGCAUGUAUGCAGAUGUGUACAGCUGUAUGCGUGUGCGUAGUUGUGUAUGCAGGUGUGUGUGUUUGCGUGCAGCUCUGUACGCAGCUGUUAAUGCAGGUGUGUGUCUUCCAGGACUCCACCGCGCAGGCGCGGACUACAUCUCCCAUCAACCCCCGCGCCUCGCCCCGCCCCCAGCUUCCGGCCGCCGACAGUGACGUCACCCACUCGGAUUUUUCCCCGCGAAAACGGCGGCGGAGCGAUGCAGCGGCGGAUCACGUCUUUCUUCGCCCCCCCCAGGGCUGCAGAUGGCGCCGU